GAUGAACGCUGGCGGCGUGCUUAACACAUGCAAGUCGAACGGAAAGGCCCUGCUUUUGUGGGUUUCUCGAUUGGCGAACGGGUGAGUAACACGUGAGUAACCUGCCCUUGACUUUGGGAUAACUUCAGGAAACUGGGGCUAAUACCGGAUAUGAUCUCCUGCUGCAUGGUGUGGGUUGGUAAGUUUCGGCGGUUGUGGAUGGACUCGCGGCUUAUCAGCUUGUUGGUGGGGUAGUGGCUUACCAAGGCUUUGACGGGUAGGCGGCCUGAGCGGGUGACCGGCCACAUUGGGACUGAGGUACGGCCCAGACUCGUACGGGAGGCAGCAGUGGGGAAUAUUGCACAAUGGGCGGACGUCUGAUGCAGAAACGCCGCGUGCGGGAUGACGGCCUUCGGGUUGUAAACAGAUUUCGCAUGUGACGAAGCGUGAGUGACGGUAAUGGGUAAAGAAGCAACGGCUAACUACGUG
rnacentral:rRNA from 1 species